rnacentral:tRNA from 1 species
CAUUAAGAAGCUAAUGUAGCGUUAACCUUUUAAGUUAAAGAUGUGGAUAAGUCUCCUCCUUAAUGA